UCCCUGAUAGCUCAGUUGGUAAAGAAUCUGCCUGCAAUGCAGGAGAUCCCGGUUCAAUUCCUGGGUUGGGAA
rfam:TPA: Bos taurus chromosome X, whole genome shotgun sequence.